rnacentral:rRNA from 1 species
CGUGGCGGACGGGUGAGGAACACGUGGGAAACCUGCCUUUUGGUGGGGGGUAGCCCUCGGAAACGGGGGGUAAUUCCGCAUGAGCUCACGUCUCGAAGGGGGAUGUGAGGAAAGGCUCUUCGGAGUCGCCGAAAGAGGGUCCUGCGGCCGAUUAGCUAGACGGUGGGGUAACGGCCUACCGUGGCGAUGAUCGGUAGCUGGUCUGAGAGGACGGCCAGCCACAGGGGAACUGAGACACGGUCCCCACUCCUACGGGAGGCAGCAGCAAGGAAUUUUCCGCAAUGGGCGAAAGCCUGACGGAGCAACGCCGCGUGGGGGAUGACACUUUUCGGAGCGUAAACCCCUUUUCUCGGGGAUGAAGAAUGACCGUACCCGAGGAAGAAGGCCCGGCUAACUACGUGCCAGCAGCCGCGGUAAUACGUAGGGGCCGAGCGUUGUCCGGAAUUACUGGGCGUAAAGCGCGCGCAGGCGGCUGAUCAAGCCUGACGUGAAAGCCCCCGGCUCAACCGGGGAGGGUCGUCGGGGACUGGUUGGCUUGAGGGCGGUAGGGGCCGGUGGAAUUCCCGGUGUAGUGGUGAAAUGCGUAGAGAUCGGGAGGAACACCAGUGGCGAAGGCGGCCGGCUGGGCCGACCCUGACGCUGAGGCGCGAAGGCGUGGGGAGCGAACGGGAUUAGAUACCCCGGUAGUCCACGCAGU